rnacentral:lncRNA from 1 species
CUCGUCAAUCUCUCUACAACCGUCGUCUCCAGAUCAGUGGAGCUCAUCGCUGCCACCGUCACCAGAUCACAGCGGAUACAUCAAGUGGUUCUCUCCCUCUUCUUCCCCCCUCUCUCUUCUUUCCUCCACAUGGCCGCCGUUGUCGGAUCACAGCUGAGCUCAUCGCGUGAGCAGCGAGCAACGGUCUUCCUCUUUUUCCCUUCAUCUUCCCCUCCUCUCUCUAUAUUUGUCUCUCUAUACUCCAUUGCAAAUGGCAGCCAUUGCCAAGCAGUGAUUUCACUGCGAUGCCUUUGAGCGCUAUUUCACAGUGCAGCUUGUAGCGUCAGAGAAGCUGUAUGUUUACUGCGAAUGGCACACCGCCAUCGUAGCAGCUUCUUAAGCAACGCACGAUCGGUGGCGGUGUUCUUUUUUGUUAUUGUUUUGAUGUUAGUUGUAGGUGGUUUAAUUGUCUUCAGUUUUGCAAAUGGUUGUUUUUAGUGGUGGAAGUGGACCAGUGGUGUUGGUGGUUGUUUAGUUGUGGUGUUGUGGUGGUAGUAUUGGAGGUUGUUGAUGGCGGGUUGCAAAAUGUCGGCGAUGGUACCGGUGUCGAUGAUGGUGCAUUUCGGUUGGAAUUAGUGUUGGUGGCGAUGGUAUGUGACCUACUGUUUGGUGUAUGUGACCAAAUUUAUGGUUAUCUGUGACCAAAUAUUUGACUGUGAUCGUAGUGGCAAUGGCGGUAGCAUUGGUGGCGAUGGUAUGUGACCUGCUAUUUGGUAUAUGUGACCAAAUUUUUGGUUAUCUGCGACCAAGUAUUUAACUGUGGUCGUAGUGGCAGUGGCGGUAAUGUUGCUGACAAUUGUAUGUGACCCGCUAUUUUGGUGUAUGUGACCAAUUUUUUGGUUAUUUGUGACCAAGGAUUUAACUGCCACCUAAAAAUAUGAUAAUAGGUGAUUAAAAAAUAAUUUGUGAUCAAAUAAUUUGAAAAUCUGUGGUCGACAAGUACAUUGUGACCUUAAUUUGUAAACAAUGAAAUAAUCAGUGAUCAAUUAAUAUGACAAUAAAUGAAGUUGUGACCUAUAAGUACCAGGAAUUAUACAUUUGUGACCUUAAUAUAUUGAAUUAAUAAAAUAUUAUUAAUUAAUAAAAAACAUUUCUGCACUUUUAAACUUAGGCCCUGAAAUUUGAAUUGAUCGUACUUAAAAGUUGAAUUGUGAAUUUUUCCAUUUUCCUGUUUCUAAUUUUUAGUCCAAGCCCAACUUAAUCAAUUUGACCUAAAUUUUACCCAAAUAUGUUAUUCUACUGCAGUGUCAUUUCUACCAUUUUGAAGAAAUCGAAUUGAAACUAGACAACUCCUAUCUUAAUUAUUGUAAGACGCAAAAGACAUAAGAUUGCACUAUGUUAUUUUGUACGAGCUAAAAUCGAAUAUAUCAUUAGUUGAAUUAAUGUAGUUUUGUAAAUAUUAAAAAAAAUUAAUUAUAGUACCGAACUUGGGAACCGAAUGAAACUGAACCAACAGAACUAAAUCGAACUUGAACGAUUUCAUAAUUAAAUUUGGACUCGAUGUUUCCACUUACUAAAUACCAAAAAAUUUUAAGUUCGAUUUGAUUCUCGUUGAAAUCGAGCCGAACCGAACCAUGCUGAUCCCCAUAUGCGAGUCCACACGUUUAGCUUAGAUCAUUUCCAACCCUAUUGCACCAAAUUAAAAAUCAUCUCCAACCCAUUACACCAAUAGUUGCACCAAAUGAAUAGUGUUUGGUCAUUUUCUUUAUUUCCUUCAUUUUUAACAAAUUAUAUAGCUGAAAAAUUAUUUAUUUAUUAGAUUUACUACUACAUAAAUUAUUUAAUAUGUUUUAAGAUGUAGUAUAAUUAAUAAAAAUAUCAUAACUAAGAAAAUAUGAAAUCAUGGUAUUCAAAAUAACGUAGUACAUUUCGAAUCUCGAAAUUAUGGUACGACAAUUAAAGUUUUUUACAAUUAAUAAAAAAUCACAACUAAGAAAACUUUUUGAGUACUUUUAUUUUAAUUCGUUCAUCUAUUAUUAUUAAUCACACGAUAAAAGUUUAUUACAAAUAAUAAUAAUAAUAAUAAUAAUAAUAAUAAUAAUAAUAAUAAUAAUAAUCAACCACUUAAUUAUGAAUUAAAAUUUAUGUAUAAUAUAAAAUGACACAAAUACCUUCAUAUUACUUGGUCAUAAUGAAAAGUGGAUCAAAAUGGACUUUAAUCACAUUUGGUGCAAAAUUGUGCAAGAUUUGGUGUUGGAUUGGAGUGAUAUAUUUGGUGAAAAAUGGAGAAAUUGUUGGGUUGCGAGGGCGGGGGGUAGUGAAAUUGUGUAAGAGUUGGAGAUACCCUUAUGUUUGGUUCUCUUUUUUUAAAACUUAUUUUUAACUAUUCUUUUCUAAAAUAAUUUUAUACGUAAAUCGAAAUUUUUUUCUUAUUUUUAACCACACAUUCUCAAAAACAUUACUAUUUCAAAUACUUUCUUAUAAAAAUGGGCGUUAAACAGGGGCUUAAUCUUUUUCUAUUCCUUAAUUAUUUUAAUGUAGGAAAUUGAAGUCAACCAUAACAUUAAACUAGAUUUUUGCACUGUAAACUUGAGACAUCGGGAACGGUGUAAUUUCCCCUAUUUAUAUUCCUUAAAAGUUGAAACCGUGGGAUUUUCUCUUAUCCGACCGUUUCACAAAUUUAAAUUUGCUUUUUUAUUUUAUUUUUCAAAUUAAUUAAUAGGAUCACACACGAACAGUUCAACAAUAAAAUCCAAUAGAAAUUUAAUUGAAGUGUUGAUUAGACUUGUACCGUGCAUAUCACAAAUUACCAUGACACGUUCUGUGAGUAGGAAUCGAAUCGAAUCGAGCGAUUUUUCUUAAAUUAAAUAUUCGAACAGGUAUCUGAAUCGAGAACCGACGGAUUCGGUUCGUUUAGAUUCUCAAUUCUAGAUCAAUAAUCGAAUAAGGACCAAAUCCCUAUUUUUUAUAAUUUAUUUAUUUUAAAUAAGUCCAAUUAUUUUUUUCUUAAAAAAUUUACUAAUUAGUUAAUUUAGUUCAAAUAAAAAAAUAUGAUUUUCCUAUGUGGAAAUUACACCUAUACAGGUGUUUAAAGAUCAGAUUUCAAAAAUAAGGUCUAAAGUGUACCUAUUCAAAAAUCAGGUUUUUAAUAUACUCUUACCCCAUCCCAUUCAUCCAAUUAAAAUUUAAAACCCUAAUUAUUUUCUCCCCCUUUAUCCAUGCUUCUCCUCGUCAAUCUCUCUACAACCGUCGUCUCCAGAUCAGUGGAGCUCAUCGCUGCCACCGUCACCAGAUCACAGCGGAUACAUCAAGUGGUUCUCUCCCUCUUCUUCCCCCCUCUCUCUUCUUUCCUCCACAUGGCCGCCGUUGUCGGAUCACAGCUGAGCUCGUCGCGUGAGCAGCGAGCAACGGUCUUCCUCUUUUUCCCUUCAUCUUCCCCUCCUCUCUCUAUAUUUGUCUCUCUAUACUCCAUUGCAAAUGGCAGCCAUUGCCAAGCAGUGAUUUCACUGCGAUGCCUUUGAGCGCUAUUUCACAGUGCAGCUUGUAGCGUCAGAGAAGCUGUAUGUUUACUGCGAAUGGCACACCGCCAUCGUAGCAGCUUCUUAAGCAACGCACGAUCGGUGGCGGUGUUCUUUUUUGUUAUUGUUUUGAUGUUAGUUGUAGGUGGUUUAAUUGUCUUCAGUUUUGCAAAUGGUUGUUUUUAGUGGUGGAAGUGGACCAGUGGUGUUGGUGGUUGUUUAGUUGUGGUGCUGUGGUGGUAGUAUUGGAGGUUGUUGAUGGCGGGUUGCAAAAUGUCGCGAUGGUACCGGUGUCAAUGAUGGUGCAUUUCGGUUGGAAUUAGUGUUGGUGGCGAUGGUAUGUGACCUACUGUUUGGUGUAUGUAACCAAAUUUAUGGUUAUCUGUGACCAAAUAUUUGACUGUGAUCGUAGUGGCAAUGGCGGUAGCAUUGGUGGCGAUGGUAUGUGACCUGCUAUUUGGUAUAUGUGACCAAAUUUUUGGUUAUCUGCGACCAAGUAUUUAACUGUGGUCGUAGUGGCAGUGGCGGUAAUGUUGCUGACAAUUGUAUGUGACCCGCUAUUUUGGUGUAUGUGACCAAUUUUUUGGUUAUUUGUGACCAAGGAUUUAACUGCCACCUAAAAAUAUGAUAAUAGGUGAUUAAAAAAUAAUUUGUGAUCAAAUAAUUUGAAAAUCUGUGGUCGACAAGUACAUUGUGACCUUAAUUUGUAAACAAUGAAAUAAUCAGUGAUCAAUUAAUAUGACAAUAAAUGAAGUUGUGACCUAUAAGUACCAGGAAUUAUACAUUUGUGACCUUAAUAUAUUGAAUUAAUAAAAUAUUAUUAAUUAAUAAAAAACCUGAUUUCUGCACUUUUAAACUUAGGCCCUGAAAUUUGAAUUGAUC